CCAGUUAUGAGGAGAAGGAAGA
rnacentral:sRNA from 1 species